AUUGAACGCUGGCGGCAGGCCUAACACAUGCCAGUCGAGCGAGCGUCGGACGGGUGAGUACUGUAUGGGGCCUGCCCGAUCGAGGGGGAUAACUACUGGACACGGUAGCUAAUACCGCAUACUAUCGGAUAACCCAUAUGGGAUUAGCUAGUUGGUGAGGUAAUGGCUCACCAGGGCGACGCUCCCUAGCUGGUCUGAGAGGAUGAUCAGCCACAGUGUGACUGAGACACGGCCAAGACUCCGACGGAGGCAGCAAUGGGGAAUAUUGAACAAAGGGCGCAAGCCUGAUGCAGCCAUGCCGCGUGGAGGAAGAAGGCCAUAGGGUUGUAAAGUACUUUCAGUCGUGAGGCGUUACCGACAGAAGAAGCACCGGCUAACUCCGUGCCAGCAGCCGCGGUAAUAC
rnacentral:rRNA from 1 species